GCCCACCUAGCUCAAUCGGAUAGAGCGUCAGACAUACAUCAGCCAUAACCACUCCACCGACUUGAUCUUCCCAAACGGGAACAGUCCUUGCCCAUCAAGCCGACUUGCCGCCUCAAACCGGCCGCUUGUUGUGCAUUGGGGGGUGGAACCAUUGGAGCGCUUUAAAAUCUGAAGGCUGCGAGUUCGAGUCUCGCGGUAGGCG